rnacentral:rRNA from 1 species
AGGGAAUCUUCCACAAUGGACGCAAGUCUGAUGGAGCAACGCCGCGUGAGUGAAGAAGGCUUUCGGGUCGUAAAACUCUGUUAUUGAAGAAGAACGUGCGUGACAGUAACUGGUCAUGCAGUGACGGUAUUCCAAUCAGAAAAGUCACGGCUAACUACGUGCCAGCAGCCGCGGUAAUACGUAGGUGGCAAGCGUUGUCCGGAUUUAUUGGGCGUAAAGCGAGUGCAGGCGGUCUUUUAAGUCUGAUGUGAAAGCCUUCGGCUUAACCGAAGAAGGGCAUCGGAAACUGGGAG